UGAACGAACGAAAUCAAAAAAGAAAAAGAAAAAACAUUUAAGUUCUAAUAUUGUAAGUUUGCU
rnacentral:ribozyme from 1 species